GAAAUGCGAUAAGUAGUAUGAAUUGCAGAAUUCAGUGAAUCAUCGAAUCUUUGAACGCACAUUGCGCCCGCUGGUAUUCCAGCGGGCACGCCUGUUCGAGCGUAAUUUAACAAAAUAUCAUGCCUAUCUUAACAGCGUGGUUAUGGGCCGUUCCGUGAUAGUUAUAACGAAAGUUUUAACGAGCACGGGGCCUAAAAGGUAUAAACUUGGGUAUAGACUAUGGGUAAAGGUUCUGGAAUUCUCUACCUUCCUAUCCACAGUUUGUCCUGAGAGAGGUUGCCCGAGGGGUUUUGUAACCAAAGCUUCUCUUAACCAAAUCUUUACCUCGGAUCAGGUGGGGAUACCCGCUGAACUUAAGC
rnacentral:misc_RNA from 1 species